AACUUUUAAUAAUAGAUCUUUUAAUUCUAAUAUUAAUAAAGAACGUAGCGAAAUAUAAUAAGUAAUAUAAAUUGUAGAAUUUAGUAAAUUAUCGAAUCUUUAAAUAUAUAUUAUGCUCAUUAAUAUUCUAGCGAGUAUACCUAUUCGAGUGUUA
rfam:Neurospora crassa OR74A unplaced genomic scaffold supercont12.9, whole genome shotgun sequence.